GGUGGCUCAGUGGGAGAGUGCUUGCCUUGCAUGCAUGAGGCCCUGGGUUCGAUUCCUAAGCACCA
rnacentral:tRNA from 1 species